CUGCUUCUAAAGUUUCCAUUGCAGAUGCAAGAAGCAAGUUUCCUCGCGCUUUCUGUCUGAUUGUGGUAGCUAAGACUGAAUAGAGGAGCAGAGGA
rnacentral:snoRNA from 1 species